rnacentral:lncRNA from 1 species
ACUCAGGCAGGAUCUAGAACAUCUUCUCCUCAUGAAUCUAUGCUCCAAAAAUUAGAUCUAAAUCUGAUUAGAAAGUACUUCAGAACUCCUUCUGAAGUUGGAGCAGCAGCCUGUCGAAGAUGUCCUGCAGCCUUCUGUUCCAAGCAUCACCAUGCCUUAGAUCUCUGCUAGAUGGAUGUCCAACAAUUUGGAUGUGAAAAGGGGAGGAAGGAGA